rnacentral:lncRNA from 1 species
AGUGAAGUUGCGGAUGCUGUGGCUGAACAUAGAGUCCAGGUAGCCACUCCAGGCACGGGCCACGGCGGCGCCACCGAUGAUGUAUUCGAGGAGAACAUUCCAGCCGAUGAGGAAGGCCCACAGCUCGCCCAUGGAUACGUAGGUGAACAGAGUCUCACUGUCACCCAGACUGGAGUGCAGUGGCAUGAACUCGGUUCACUGCAACCUCUGCCUCCUGGGUUCAAAGGAUUCUCCUGCCUCAGCCUCCUGAGUAGCUGGGAUUACAGGCGCACAGAGUUUCACUUUACUCGUCCAGGCUGGAGUGCAGUGGUGUCAUCAACCCUUACUGCAUCCUGUAACUCCUGGGCUCAAGAGAUCUUCCUGCCUCAGCCUCCCAAGUAGCUGGGACUAUAGGCUGUAACUACCAUGCCUGGCGUCAACCAGAAUAUUACGACAGCCUGCUGCUUCUAGUACUGAAGAUCCAGGGGAGAGCUGGGCCCUGCACCUGCCAGGAUGGAGAGGAGCCUUCGGAAAUGCAGUUUCUCUGGCCUGGUUUCUCAACCCAUCCCUUUUUCUACCAGAAACCUCCUACACAUCCCUGAAAGUCCUGUUCAGGUGCCACUCCUCUGUGAAGCCCUUCCUGAGAACCUGCAGCCACCUUUGGCAUCACAUGCUUCUCUCUCGCACACACUGGCUGCAUGGCGGGUGUUCAAGCUGUCAGUGGGGAAAGGACUU